rnacentral:rRNA from 1 species
AUUGAACGCUGGCGGCAGGCCUAACACAUGCAAGUCGAACGAGUGGCGGACGUGUUAGUAAUGUCUGGGAAACUGCCUGAUGUAGGGGGAUCACUACUGGAAACGGUAGAUAAUACCGCAUACCAUCAGAUGUGCCCAAAUGGGAUUAGCUAGUUGGUGGGGUAACGCCUCACCAAGGCGACGAUCCCUAGCUGGUCUGCGAGGAUGACCAGCCACACUGGAACUAAGACGCGGACCGGACUCCUACGGGCGGCGGCAGUGGGCAAUAUUGCACAAUGGGGGCAAGCCUGAUGCAGCAAUGCCGCGUGUAUGAAGAAGGCCUUCGGGUUGUAAAGUACUUUCAGCGGGGAGGCGUUACCCGCAGAAGAAGCACCGGCUAACUCCGUGCCAGCAGCCGCGGUAUUAC